AGGAUUUUAAAAUGUAGCCAAAUGUUUUAAGUCAAACUUUAAGGAAAAACAUGUAGUUAUCAAGAUUGACAAAUAAAAAUACUAAUAUGCAACAAUUUCAAAUUAUGCUUGCUACAGCACAAUUAAUAGAAUAUAAAAGUAUUUAAAAGCAUCCUG